rnacentral:rRNA from 1 species
UACGGAGGGUGCAAGCGUUAUCCGGAUUCACUGGGUUUAAAGGGUGCGUAGGUGGGCAAGUAAGUCAGUGGUGAAAUCUCCGGGCUUAACCCGGAAACUGCCAUUGAUACUAUUUGUCUUGAAUACUGUGGAGGUCAGCGGAAUAUGUCAUGUAGCGGUGAAAUGCUUAGAUAUGACAUAGAACACCAAUUGCGAAGGCAGCUGGCUACACAAAUACUGACACUGAGGCACGAAAGCGUGGGGAUCAAACAGG